UCCGGUUUGUCACCGGCAGUCUCCCUAGAGUUCCCGGCAUAACCCGCUGGCAACUAAGGAUAGGGGUUGCGCUCGUUGCGCCACUUAAGGCAACACCUCACGGCACGAGCUGACGACAGCCAUGCAGCACCUGUGCACGGACUCCGAAGAGGGGCCGAUGUUUCCACCGGCUUUCCCGUGCAUGUCAAGCCCAGGUAAGGUUCUUCGCGUUGCUUCGAAUUAAACCACAUAAUCCACCGCUUGUGCGGGUCCCCGUCAAUUCCUUUGAGUUUUAAUCUUGCGACCGUACUCCCCAGGCGGGAUGCUUAAUGCGUUAGCUGCGCCACUGAAGAGCAAGCUCCCCAACGGCUAGCAUCCAUCGUUUACAGCGUGGACUAC
rnacentral:misc_RNA from 1 species